AUUGAACGCUGGCGGCAUGCUUUACACAUGCAAGUCGAACGGCAGCGAGGAGAAUCUUGCUUCUCUGUCGGCGAGUGGCGAACGGGAGAGUAUAGCAUCUGCACGUGCCAAGUAGUGGAGGAUAACCAAACGAAAGUUUUGCUACUACCGCGUAAGCUCUAAGGAGGAAAGUAGGGGACCUAAAUAAGGCCUUACUCUAUCUGAUCGGCCGAUGCCGGAUUAGCUAGUUGGUGGGGUAAUGGCUCACCAAGGCAAGGAUCCGUAGCGGGUCUGAGAGGACGAUCCGCCACACUGGGACUGAGACACGGCCCAGACUCCUACGGGAGGCAGCAGUGGGGAAUUUUGGACAAUGGGGGAAAGCCUGAUCCAGCCAUGCCGCGUGUAUGAAGAAGGUCUUAGGAUUGUAAAGUACUUUUGUUAGGGAAGAAGAGCUAGUUUUUAAUACAAAGUAGUGAUGACGGUACCUAAAGAAUAAGCACCGGCUAACUACGUG
rnacentral:rRNA from 1 species